ACAGAGCGGCGGAUGCCGGGAAGUAGGUCAAUCUUGAUCAUUUAGAGGAAGUAAAAGUCGUAACAAGGUUUCCGUAGGUGAACCUGCGGAAGGAUCAUUCCCGAUGUGAAAAAUCCAAGGUUAAACAUCAUUAACCAACCAGUGUGAACUGUGAAACAACUCUUUAGGGGUCGACACAGGCGUGUGUCGUUAAAUGGCGGAUAGGUUCCUUCCGCCAGCCCCGCCAUUGUGUUUAUGAUAUCACUUUGAACGUUAAAGACUGAGAACUAUGUAUCAUGCAUUAAAUGUAUGAGAAAGAAGGAAAGAAAAAUGAGAGACAACUUUUGACGGUGGAUCUCUUGGCUCACGUAUCGAUGAAGAACGCAGCCAGCUGCGAUAUGUAGUGUGAAUUGCAGAAUUCAGUGAAUCAUUGAAUCUUUGAACGCAAAUGGCGCUCUUGGGUUCUCCCAGGAGCAUGUCUGUCUGAGUGUCGGAUUUUAUCGAACGCACUCGUGAGUGCGGCAUUGAGGUGUCACGGCGUGUUAGCAAGCAAGCAUUAAAUCGCCGUGUCCCUUGAAGGACAGCAGCAUUGGACUCGCAUUCUCUAUUGAAACUUGAGUGCGAAGGCUAAAGAUAAUAUUUUCCUUCGCCCAAACAUGCAAUAGCAGAAAGAAAAUCC
rnacentral:rRNA from 1 species